rnacentral:rRNA from 1 species
UUGAAAGGGAAACGAUUGAAGUCAGUCGUACCUGCGGGUAAUCAGCCUUUUGGGCAUGAUUCUGUGGAGCGUGAGGAGUUAAACGCCUUCAUGCCUGCAUAUUCGUGUACUUUGGGUGUACUUGCCUGUGUGGUUAGUUAACAUCAAUUUUGGUUAUCAUAAAAUGGUUGGAGGAAUGUAGCUUCGAUUUCGAUUGAAGUGUUAUAGCCUUCGGCAGAUGUGAUGAUCGGGAUUGAGGAUUGCAACGGAUACCCUUCGGGGCUACCUGUCUGGUCUCUGAUCGUUGCUUUGGUGCCGAAAGCGUGCUUACGGUUAUCAAAGUCGAUGGUCAAUAGGUUAGAACGGGUUAAAUUCGUUAAGGAUGUUGACGUA